CUGCCCCCGAGCCCCGCCGCCGCCGGAGUGGGGGCGGUGGGUGAGGCGGUCCAACUCUUACCGCCCCAAGAGUAUCUGUUAGGUACCUACCGGCGUCACACCCGCGCCCCUCUUACGUCUCCCAGCAGGCAAAGUGGAAGAGGAGGGCAAAGGGGCAGUCCACAGAUAAGAAUGAGACUAAGAUGAAAGAGCAUGAACUUCAGUCACUGAAGAUACACAAUGUAUAUCUGCAUGAACAGCUUAAGUGUCUUCAAAAGCUCUAUGCUGUAGCAUACCUCGUGCUGGCACGUGGAAGUCUUUCACAAUUUGAUUCCUAGACUGUAAGUUCUGAUAAUUUGUAAAUAUGCAAAAAUGUUCAAAAAAUAUGUAGACAUAUAAAAAUGCUCAAGACUAGAGUCCUGGAAUGCUCCAUUGUAUGAAUGUAAAUAUAGCCAGGACUCUGAUCCUCCCUGCAGGGACAAACCCUGCAUUUGCUGCAUUCAAAGAACCUCAGCCUCAGAAGCCAAAUUUACAUAACCAAACUGUUCCACUAGCUGCACAGGGGGGAAGAAGCACGACAAGCGGUGAGAUAUAGGUGCAGCCUUGGGAGGCUGAGUACCAGAAGGAAUGUCAGAGCUUGUGGAGCACAUCUAUGUAGAUGUUGCUGCAUCCUGAUACAUGCGUGCUCUGGUUCUUUGGAGCAAUUGGCAGGAAAGUUUGUUCUCUGCCAGAAUCUCUUUUAGCAGAGUCACUACAGCACAUUUCCAAAGCUGAACAGCUUCUCUGGGGUCUGGUAUUAACAUUUUGGCAGACAGUCCUUUAUGCUGUUUGUGAGCACUUCUGUUCUGAGGCUGGUAUAUAUAUGUGGCAUAUAUGGCAGUGAGACUAAAUUUCUCAUCACUACUUUCCCUUCUGCUGGGAAGUUAACAUAUGCUAUUGCUCAGCAAAGGACAACAUUACAUUGUAGUUCCCUUAUUUAAAACAAUAACAACUGUCUCCUGCAUAGAAAACUAAUAGGCCCUGUCCCCAGAUGGUGUAAAUUAGCAUGGCACCACUCAUGUCUGAUUUAUAACAACUGAAGAUCCAGCCUUCCCAAUAUACCACAUGAUUAAGCAUGCACUUUACUAGCCUAGAAAUGUCUUGAGGGCCAUGUAAUUGUGUGGUAAUGAACUAAACUUUAAUUAAGUUCUCAUUUUGAAUUAGAAUCAAUAAGUCAAUAAAUAGCCUUCACUUGAUUUAGAUGAUAAAUAUGCCAGCUGAGGCUGCACUCUAUGUUCUCCCUACUUUUCAGGCUGUCCUUUCUUCUCCGUAUGUCAGAAUCUAAUGAAGGAGCUCUGAAGUAUGGUCCUAAUAUAUUAUUGUCACACAUGGUGAUAAUACUGGUAGAGUUAGGAGACAGCCAGGUUUCUAUUAUAAAUCCAGUUCCCAAGGUUUUAUAGCAUGUGUUUUAAACUGCAGUCAGCAAAGUUGUUUUUACAAGGAGCUGUCAGCCCCAGCUUGAAUUUUUGUCAAAAUAAAAUUAAAAAUGGAUUUGAUUGAUUCAAUCUGUCAAUUUUUCAGGAAUUCUGAAGCUAUUUUUGUUAACCUCCAGCAUAAUAUGCCUUAGAUUUGAAAAAUGCAGUUUCAUAGCAAGCUUUUAAACAUGACUAAUUACUGAUUUUUGUUGGGAGGAGAGAAAGGGCAAAUGGGUUUGUAUGGUGGUAAUGACUCUUAUAUUUUAAGACUGGACAAGACCUUUCUGACCAUCUAGUCUGACCCUUUGAAUAGCUAGGUCACAGAAUUUCACCCAGUAAUUAACGCAUCUGUCUCAGUAACUUCCAGGUUGAAUUACAGCAGAUCUUUAGAAAGCUAUUACUUCUCACUGUAGGGAAUGUCAUAGGCAAACUCUAUAAUCCAGUACUUGGAAUGGCACAGCAGAAGUUAUCACUUGAGACUUCUACUCUUCACUCCGAUUCUGACUCACUGUGUGGCCUUAGGAAAGCAACUUAAUUUUUCUGAUUUCUCUGUUUUUCCAUCUUCUGCAAUGAGGAAAAUAGUAUUUAAAAGCCUCAGAGAGGGGGUGGUGAGAUGUAACAAAUUAUUUGAGGAAUGCUUUGAACUAUUCAGAUAAAAAAUGCUAUUCUGUAAAAGUAAAGAAAGCCAGUACAAUGUAUUCAAAUUUGAAAAAUGAUUACUUUUCAGAAUGUGCUCUUUCUCUGCAUUUGUGUCAAGUUAACAGCUACUGCAGAACAAAUCUGGUUAGGUGAAAGACUGAAUCCCAUAGUUCAUUGUAUAGAAUACUUUAGAAAGAAAUAGUUUGAAAGUUGGCUUGGAUAUUUUCACUCCACUUGUAAUAUUUUUUGCUAAUAGAAUGGGUGGUUUUCAUUACAACCAGAUUUUGUAUUCAUUUCCACUGGACAAAGCACUUUUCAAUAGGAUUUUCUCAGGGUCACAAAAACUGUCCCUUUCUUGACUGUCCAAACAACUGGUAGAAAAGUGGGUUCUGGAGGGCAGUUGUUACUUUUGUGAAAUUAAUAGGGCAAUUUGCAUUCUGGACUUUUACUGUGACUGGCCACUGAAAAAACAGAUGGUUUCAUCUUCAAGACCAUGAUAAUACUGCUUGGCACUGGCAUGAAGAAAAAUUCAGACCGUUAUUCCUUAAAAAAUAUCAGUAUAAACUGGAAUAUCCAGGACCUUUUCAAGAGACUUUUACAAUUAAGUUCCAAUAAUAAUCCUUACCAUUUAGUGGCUCUAUUUACCCUGCUAAACACAUCUGCUUCAAAAAGUGAUUCUUGGAACUUAGGUUAGUGACACAGAAUGACCUGAACACACAUUGGGUAUCCUGCUGCUCCAAACUGGCACCUUUGUGUCCCUAAGAGAUAAUGAUGAUGAUGAUGAUGAUGAUGAGAGAAGGCUCAGGGGGAGUUAUUGCUCUCAGAGUUGUUAUUGCUCUCUACAACUACCUGAAAGGAGGAUGGAGUAAGAAAGUGGUUGGUGAUAGUAACAAGUGACAAGUGAUAGGACAAGUGGUCUCAAGCUGCACCAGGGGAGGUUUAGAUUGGGUAUUAGGAAAAAUUUCUCCACCAAAAGGGUUAUCAGGUAUUGAACAGGCUGCAUGGGGAAGUGGUGGAAUCACUGAUCCUGGAAGCAUUAAAAAAAAACAUGUAGACGAGGCCCUUAAUGACAUGGUUUAGUGGUGGACUUGGAAAUCCAGAGGUAAGGUUGCACUUGAUGAUCUUGAAGGUCUUCUCCAACCCGGCUGAUUCUAUGAUUAUUGUUUUAUAUUGCAGCUUUAUCAUUCAAAGUGUCCAAAAAACAAGGGAGGAGUAGGACAGUGAGGUGGGUAAGGUCCACACUGAUUAGCCAAGCAGAACUACUUACUUGGCCGACUGAAGGAACACAUCACAAUGAAAACCUCAGAGGUAUGCGCUGGGGACAUCAACUCUGCACACCUCAGCUCCUGGCCUGUCACUGUUCACCAGGACAUUUUCUAUGCAAGAGACUACAGCUGGAGCAUAAUGACUCCAGGAGCAGUGUCCCAGUGGAGAACACAGAAGACAGAUGAGGAAUACACUGAAGCAGUCAUUGCUACAGUGUGGCCAACCACUACUAUAUACAGUGGAUUUCUUCCAAGACAGAAAGCGUAGGGGGGAUUUUCCCAAAAUAAGGGUAAAACUUUAGACCUACAGAAGUGGUACAUUUGCCUCAAUGUAGCUAUGUAGCUGAUCUUGUUUUUUAAGGUCUGUACAGCUAGGUGCUUUAGAAAUACAGUGUCUGUGGUAAGAACCUGUGUUCUUUGCCUCUGUGUUUUUCCAGAUCAGUUGAAUUAGAAAUUCAACACCAGUUUAGAGUCCUCAAAGCCUAUGUAGGACUCAAGAGAAAUGUGUGUGAUGUUUUGGGAAGCCUCUGAAUCUUGGUAAUGGAGAAGAACACUUGACUGAAAUCUAAGUCCAGGGACAUACCCUAAGCUCCCAAAGUCAAAAGUAGUGACCAGUCUCCGCCCUAUCUGGGUGGGCUGAGCUAACACCACAGAGAAAUAGUGGACCAGACUGUAGAAGUAGCCCUGACAGCCUGAUACAGCUCUACUAAUGUCAGCCCUCAACAGCAGAAACUCUGAUUCUUCAUCUACAAACAGAAGAAAGAAAACAGAAGAGAAAAAGGUGUUUAAAUUUUACUUCAACUGGAAAUUCUUUAGCAAGUACAAGAAACGGUUUAGCUUUCUAAUUGCAUUCACUAGUGCUUCAACCCUUACAGCAGUUCUGCCUGACAACAGCUUUAGGGGAGUGGAGGGGCAGGGUGAAAGACAUUAGUAACUAUUCUGAGAGUUUAAAUAAGCACAAGUAGCAUUACAGGGCUACUGUGAUCAGUAUCUCCUUGAAGGAGAUAAUGAUGCAUCCUGGCUCUGUCUGGAAUGUGCUGAACAA